GUUUACCUCGUAUCCAAGCCUCCGGCUGGCCCUCGUUUCCAACCUCUCCUGCCGUCCUCGACUCCUGGUCGUCUCCAAUUGAUCCGGUAAAAUUGUCUUUGUUGAAUUGAUUUUUUUUAUUGAAAAGCUUGCAUGAUCCUGUCUUGACUAGAUUUUUAAAAACUACAUGCAAUUGAACAAAUAAAGAAGUAUGUCUGUCAAGUAUGCCGUCUGCUAUGGGAAUUAUUAGUCUUUUGCAAUUUCUUUACCUUGCUGAUAUGUAUUAAAUUUCAGCUCAGCUCAUGUAGUUAUAUUAUUAUUGCGCCUGGGGUUUGCUACAUGGUGAUACCUUUUUGUUACAAAUAUGGGUCUUUCGAUUAGCCAUUUGCUUCUCCUUUUUUGUGCUAUCCCUAUGGUUAUACAUAACUUUGUUAUUCGUAAAUGCUUCUCACAUUUUCAGCUUCCUAGUUGCAAUUUUUUCAUGUGCUUGAAAAUUGAUGAGUGUGACCUGUUAGUUUCUCUGCUUCCAGCUUUGAUCGUGUCAUAAGCCUAUUAGAUUUUUUCUAUAAGAACUAACACUGAUUCAGUAUGACCAAUGUAUAUUCGGUGUGGUAAAAUCAUUGUGGAGAUAUUUCAGUAGCUGACCUUUGAGGAUAAAUGACAUUAUAGGAUUUUUAAGCUUAUAAUUCCCACACUCCAUUCUACAGGUUGACUGAAUUCUAAAUGGUUGCAUGAUAAUCGGUCCUUGCAGUUGACACAGGUGUGAGUUGUGACUGCUGCCUUCAACUAGUUCAUAAUUUUUAUGUAUCAUGCAACUUCGAAGGAGCUAAUUGCUAUGGACUGCUCUCUUUUUUGUAAGAAGUGGCUAAUUGGGGGUAGAAGAUUCAAUCCUUAUUUGAUGGCUGCUGACAGGGAGCUGCAGUACUGCAUACAUCAAGAAUCCAUGGAACAUGUGCGAUUGCACUUCUUAGCUUGUCCAACAGCUUCUUCCCCUCAAAUGAGAUUUAACACCCACUUGGCGUAUUUUUGCAACAAACCUGGAACAAACAAGGUCAAAGAUGGAGAUGGGUCAUUCGAGUUCAAAACUGAUGCGGGGCAAAUGAUCAGAAGGCUUGACACUAGUGUGCCAGCUCCAACAAGGUGCUGAUGAAGUGCCCUUCAGCACCUUGAUUAACCGGCAAACAUAGUGCAGUAUAGAUUAAGUCGAGUCAUGUACAAUUAAUUCCUUUGUGUUUGAUAGGCACGUUAUUCAGACCACGCUGAUAUUUAUCUUAUUGGCACAUGAGGUUAUGCCGACAUGUAAAUCUAUUUUAUAUACCCUUUAACGCAAUCAAGGUAUAAGAGUUGUUGGGUGUAUCAUCAGGCUGUCCCAGUCAAAGUUAGGCCAUGUAAUCAGGUGAUGUAAUCAGUCAAUAAUAUGAGUA